rnacentral:pre_miRNA from 1 species
UUUGACUCUUCGUCUUAUUUAAAAUUAUUUUACGAUUAAUAUUUUUAUUGUUACUAGAUGAUAAAAUAUAAAUAGCACUUUAUGUAUGACUAAUUUUUUUAAGUUUUUAUAUAAAAUUUUCAAAUAAAACAAAUGGUCAAA